rnacentral:misc_RNA from 1 species
AACGCACAUUGCGCCCGCCAGUAUUCUGGCGGGCAUGCCUGUUCGAGCGUCAUUUCAACCUUCAAGCCCUGCUUGUGUUGGGGUCCUGCGGCUGCCCGCAGGCCCUGAAAACCAGUGGCGGGCUCGCUAGUCACACCGAGCGCAGUAGCACCUCUCGCUCAGGGCGUGCGGCGGGUUCUUGCCGUGAAACCCCCCCCCUUUCCACAGGUUGACCUCGGAUCAGGUAGGAAUACCCGCUGAACUUAA